GCACAAUGGGCGGAAGCCUGAUGCAGCAACGCCGCGUGCGGGAUGACGGCCUUCGGGUUGUAAACCGCUUUCGCCUGUGACGAAGCGUGAGUGACGGUAAUGGGUAAAGAAGCACCGGCUAACUACGUGCCAGCAGCCGCGGUGAUACGUAGGGUGCGAGCGUUGUCCGGAUUUAUUGGGCGUAAAGGGCUCGUAGGUGGUUGAUCGCGUCGGAAGUGUAAUCCUGGGGCUUAACCCUGAGCGUGCUUUCGAUACGGGUUGACUUGAGGAAGGUAGGGGAGAAUGGAAUUCCUGGUGGAGCGGUGGAAUGCGCAGAUAUCAGGAGGAACACCAGUGGCGAAGGCGGUUCUCUGGGCCUUUCCUGACGCUGAGGAGCGAAAGCGUGGGGAGCGAACAGGCUUAGAUACCCUGGUAGUCCACGCUGUAAACGGUGGGUACUAGGUGUGGGGUCCAUUCCACGGGUUCCGUGCCGUAGCUAACGCUUUAAGUACCCCGCCUGGGGAGUACGGCCGCAAGGCUAAAAUUCAAAGGAAUUGACGGGGGCCCGCUCAAG
rnacentral:rRNA from 1 species